CCCGCACAAGCGGUGGAGCAUGUGGUUUAAUUCGACGCAACGCGAAGAACCUUACCAGGGCUUGACAUCCCCUGACCGCGUAUGAAAGUACGUUUUCACCUUCGGGAGACAGGGAGACAGGUGGUGCAUGGUUGUCGUCAGCUCGUGUCGUGAGAUGUUGGGUUAAGUCCCGCAACGAGCGCAACCCCUAUUGUUAGUUGCCAUCAUUCAGUUGGGCACUCUAGCGAGACUGCCGGUAAUAAACCGGAGGAAGUGGGGAUGACGUCAAAUCAUCAUGCCCCUUAUGACCUGGGCUACACACGUGCUACAAUGGUUGGUACAACGAGUUGCGAGUCGGUGACGGCGAGCUAAUCUCUUAAAGCCAAUCUCAGUUCGGAUUGUAGGCUGCAACUCGCCUACAUGAAGUCGGAAUCGCUAGUAAUCGCGGAUCAGCACGCCGCGGUGAAUACGUUCCCGGGCCUU
rnacentral:rRNA from 1 species